CCUACGUGAGGCAGCAGUGGGGGAUCUUGCACAAUGGGGGAAACCCUGCUGCAGCGACGCCGCGUGUGGGAAGACGGUCUUCUGGAUUGUAAACCACUGUCCCCAGGGACGAAAUUGACGGUACCUGGGGAGGAAGCUCCGGCUAACUAGGUGCCAGCAGCCGCGGUAAUACGUAGGGAGCAAGCGUUGUCAGGAAUUACUGGGUGUAAAGGGAGCGUAGGCGGGGAUGCAAGUUGGGUGUAAAAACGAUCGGCUAAACCGUUAGUCGCACUCAAAACUGCAGCUCUUGAGUGAAGGAGAGGCAGGCGGAAUUCCUAGUGUAGCGGUGAAAUGCGUAGAUAUUAGGAGGAACACCAGUGGCGAAGGCGGCCUGCUGGGCUUUUACUGACGCUGAGGCUCGAAAGUGUGGGGAGCAAACAGGAUUAGAUACCCCUGUAGUC
rnacentral:rRNA from 1 species